rnacentral:rRNA from 1 species
CCCGCCGGACCCUACUGCUAUCGGGGUAGGACUAAGACAUGCAAGUCGUGCGUCUCUAGGCCAUGGUAGAGACGCGGCAUACGGCUCAGUAACACGUGGCUAACCUACCCUUAGGCCGGGGACAACCCCGGGAAACUGGGGACUAUCCCUGAUAGGUGAGGAGGCCUGGAAUGGUUCUUUGCCGAAAAGGCGUUGAAACCACGCUUUUCAGCGUCGCCUAAGGAUGGGGCCGCGGCCGAUCAGGUUGUUGGUGAGGUAACGGCUCACCAAGCCUAUAACCGGUACGGGCCGUGAGAGCGGGAGCCCGGAGAUGGGCACUGAGAUAAGGGCCCAGGCCCUACGGGGCGCAGCAGUCGCGAAAACUCCGCAAUGCGCGAAAGCGUGACGGGGCUACCCCGAGUGCCGUCCGCUGAGGAUGGCUUUUCCCUGGUGUAAUGAGCCGGGGGAAUAAGGAGGGGGCAAGUCUGGUGUCAGCCGCCGCGGUAAUACCAGCUCUCCGAGUGGUAGGGAUGAUUAUUGGGCUUAAAGCGCCCGUAGCCGGCCCGGCAAGUCUUCCGUUAAAUCCAGCGACCUAAUCGUUGGACUGCGGGAGAUACUGUUGGGCUAGGGGACGGGAGAGGCCGACGGUAUUCUCGGGGUAGGGGUGAAAUCCUAUAAUCCCGGGAGGACCACCAGUGGCGUAGGCUGUCGGCUAGAACGCGCUCGACGGUGAGGGACGAAAGCUGGGGGAGCGAACCGGAUUAGAUACCCGGGUAGUCCCAGCUGUAAACGAUGCGGGCUAGGUGUUGGGGUGGCUACGAGCCACUUCAGUGCCGCAGGGAAGCCAUUAAGCCCGCCGCCUGGGGAGUACGGCCGCAAGGCUGAAACUUAAAGGAAUUGGCGGGGGAGCACCACAA